rnacentral:rRNA from 1 species
AGUGAACGCUGGCGGUAGGCCUAACACAUGCAAGUCGAACGGCAGCACAGUAAGAGCUUGCUCUUACGGGUGGCGAGUGGCGGACGGGUGAGGAAUACAUCGGAAUCUACUUUUUCGUGGGGGAUAACGUAGGGAAACUUACGCUAAUACCGCAUACGACCUACGGGUGAAAGCAGGGGAUCUUCGGACCUUGCGCGAUUGAAUGAGCCGAUGUCGGAUUAGCUAGUUGGCGGGGUAGAGGCCCACCAAGGCGAUGAUCCGUAGCUGGUCUGAGAGGAUGAUCAGCCACACUGGAACUGAGACACGGUCCAGACUCCUACGGGAGGCAGCAGUGGGGAAUAUUGGACAAUGGGCGCAAGCCUGAUCCAGCCAUACCGCGUGGGUGAAGAAGGCCUUCGGGUUGUAAAGCCCUUUUGUUGGGAAAGAAAAGCAGCAGGUUAAUACCCCGCUGUUCUGACGGUACCCAAAGAAUAAGCACCGGCUAACUUCGUG